rnacentral:ncRNA from 1 species
AACAAGUUGCGGGGGGACCGGAGGAAUGCAAUUCCCAUGGUUGAGAAGGUAAAACCUGACCCUUAGAACCUGUCGGUUAACACCGUCGAAGGGAAGCAGAAAUCAAAUUUUA